rnacentral:tRNA from 1 species
GCCCGUGUAGCUCAAUUGGUAGAGCAGCUGAUUUGUAAUCAGCAGGUUGCAGGUUCAAGUCCCGUCGCGGGCC